rnacentral:rRNA from 1 species
GAUGAACGCUGGCGGCGUGCCUAACACAUGCAAGUCGAACGAAGCACAUUCCUUCGGGGAUGUGACUGAGUGGCGGACGGGUGAGUAACGCGUGGGUAACCUGCCCUCUACAGGGGGACAACAGUUAGAAAUGACUGCUAAUACCGCAUAAGCGCACAGGGAGGCAUCUUCCCGUGUGAAAAACAAUAGUGGUAGAGGAUGGGCCCGCGUCUGAUUAGCUGGUUGGCGGGGUAAAAGCCCACCAAGGCAACGAUCAGUAGCCGGUCUGAGAGGAUGAACGGCCACAUUGGAACUGAGACACGGUCCAAACUCC